rnacentral:SRP_RNA from 1 species
GACGGGUGCGGUGGUGCAUGCCUGUAGUCCCAGCUACUCGGGAGGCUGAGGUGGGAGGAUCGCUUGAGCCCAGGAGUUCUGGGCUGCAGUGCGCUAUGCUGAUCGGGUGUCCGCACUAAGUUCGGCAUCAAUAUGGUGACCUCCGGGGAGCGGGGGACCACCAGGUUGCCUAAGGAGAGGUGAACCGGCACAGGUCGGAAACGGAGCAGGUCAAAACAGGUUCAUCAAUGACAGAGGACACCAGAAAGUUUUCAUUCAGGUUCUCUUUAUUUCUGAUGUUUCUUUGUAACCUUCCUU